AAUUUGAGUUAGAAGCUGGGAAAUUCAUGUUGACUUAGGAGUUGAGAGUUUAAAAGAUUAUCUUUUUAUUGUCAUUAAUUCAUAGCUGAUAAAAGGAAAGUGAGGAUCCAUAGAGGGUGCUGAUGAGCUCCCACAGACAGGCUGGUGAGGAUGAAUUCAAUCAGGAAGAAAGGAAAAAAGCACGUCAGGUGCCUUGAAUAUGUGAUUAAUGUGCCUCUUCUGUAAUAUAAAACUGCCUGGACUAUUUGAUGCUGUGAAUUUACAGUAGCCCAGCCAGCGUAGGGGGCAGAUAGGGUUGUGGAAGCCUAAAAGUUUUAAGUACUCUAGCAUGAAAUUAAAAAUAAAUUCAAAUUAGCUUAGAAGUCUGAAGUUCA
rnacentral:lncRNA from 1 species